CAAUAGCGUAUAUUAAAGUUGUUGCGGUUAAAAAGCUCGUAGUUGGAUUUCUGCUGAGGACGAUCGGUCCGCCCUCUGGGUGAGCAUUGACUCGGCCUUGGCAUCUUCUUGGAGAACGCUACUGCACUUGACUGUGUGGUGCGGUAUCCAGGACUUUUACUUUGAGGAAAUUAGAGUGUUUCAAGCAGGCGCACGCCUUGAAUACAUUAGCAUGGAAUAAUAGGAUAGGACCUUGGUUCUAUUUUGUUGGUUUCUAGGACUAAGAUAAUGAUUAAUAGGGACAAUUGGGGGCAUUCGUAUUGCGGUGUCAGAGGUGGAAUUCUUAGAUUACUGCACGACGAACUACUGCGAAAGCAUUUGCCAAGGAUGUUUUCAUUGAUCAAGAACGAAAGUAAGGGGAUCGAAGAUGAUCAGAUACCAU
rnacentral:rRNA from 1 species